rnacentral:rRNA from 1 species
UACGUAGGAGGCAAGCGUUGUCCGGAAUCACUGGGCGUAAAGCGCGUGUAGGUGGAAGAGGAGGUCUGCUGUGAAAGCGCCUGGCUUAACCGGGCGAGGUCGGUGGAAACUCCUCAUCUGGAGGGCGGUAGAGGGGGGUGGAAUUCCGGGUGUAGUGGUGAAAUGCGUAGAGAUCCGGAGGAACACCUGUGGCGAAGGCGGCCCCCUGGGCCGCACCUGACGCUGAGACGCGAAAGCGCGGGGAGCGAACGGG